rnacentral:piRNA from 1 species
AACAAGGGCAAUGUGAUAAUAAGUCUGU